rnacentral:rRNA from 1 species
GCCUACGGGAGGCAGCAGUGGGGAAUAUUGCACAAUGGAGGAAACUCUAAUGCAGCAAUACCACGUGAGUGAGAAAGGCCUUCGGGUUGUAAAGCUCUGUCCUGAGGGAAGAAUGGUUAGGUAGCUAAUAUCUGCUUAAUUUGACGGUACCUCAGAAGAAAGCACCGGCUAAUUCCGUGCCAGCAGCCGCGGUAA